rnacentral:rRNA from 1 species
GACGAACGCUGGCGGCGUGCUUAACACAUGCAAGUCGAACGAAGUGGCGAACGGGUGAGUAACGCGGAAUCAACCUGCCCUUCAGAGGGGGACAACAGUUGGAAACGACUUCUAAUACCGUAUACUGCAGGAGGGGAGUGCGUCUGAUUAGCUAGUUGGUGGGGUAACGGCCAACCAAGGCGAUGAUCAGUAGCCGGUCUGAUAGGAUGAACGGCCACAUUGGGACUGAGACACGGCCCAGACUCCUACGGGAGGCAGCAGUUGGGACUCUUCCGCAAGGGACGAAAGUCUGACGGAGCAACGCCGCGUGAGUGAUGACGGCCUUCGGGUUGUAAAGCUCUGUUAAUCGGGACGCGGUACCGGAAUAGAAAGCCACGGCUAACUACGUGCCAGCAGCCGCGGUAAUUC